rnacentral:rRNA from 1 species
GAUGAACGCUGGCGGCGUGCCUAAUACAUGCAAGUCGAGCGAACAGAUGAGGAGCUUGCUCCUCUGACGUUAGCGGCGGACGGGUGAGUAACACGUGGAUAACCUACCUAUAAGACUGGGAUAACUUCGGGAAACCGGAGCUAAUACCGGAUAAUAUAUUGAACCGCAUGGUUCAAUAGUGAAAGACGGUUUUGCUGUCACUUAUAGUUGGAUCCGCGUCGCAUUAGCUAGUUGGUAAGGUAACGGCUUACCAAGGCAACGAUGCGUAGCCGACCUGAGAGGGUGAUCGGCCACACUGGAACUGAGACACGGUCCAGACUCCUACGGGAGGCAGCAGUAGGGAAUCUUCCGCAAUGGGCGAAAGCCUGACGGAGCAACGCCGCGUGAGUGAUGAAGGUCUUCGGAUCGUAAAACUCUGUUAUUAGGGAAGAACAAAUGUGUAAGUAACUAUGCACGUCUUGACGGUACCUAAUCAGAAAGCCACGGCUAACUACGUG